UAAUCCCUUUGAUCCAUCCCAUGAUAAUCAUGCGUUACGUUAGAAGAGCUAUUCUUUGAAAUUUUCCCCUAUAUAAACCUCAACAGUGGUUAUCAUCUUCCCGGGUUUCUCCAUUUCUUUCUUCCGCAUACUCUCUCAAGGCUAUUAGGGUUUUCCCCUAAUCGUCGACAACUCCAGCUAGAAAGUGCGGAAGAUUUAGGUUUUUAAGUAAUUAUUUAUCAAGGCUAAUUUGAGUUUUCUUUUCCUAAUCAUAGGCUUCCAUUCAUUUUCUUUUUGCUAACUAUCACUCGUUUUGAAUAAGUGUUGUGAGUUAACCAAGAUUCAAUUUUUUCGCUACUUCAGUUUGGUGUAUGGAUGCUCAUUUUGCUUAUAUGAAUGGAAACCCCAUGAUUAACCAAUAGGAUUGGCCGUGGCUUUAUGGUAUUAGGUUCUUUAGUUGUGUGUGCAUAGUGAAAAGAAUGAUUGCUGACUGAAUUGGUUUCAAUUUUUUCCAGUCCAUAAUCCCAUAACUUUUUUCAAAUGGGUUCCCAGAUUGUCAACAGCCCUUCUAAAGUUCCGCAACCACCUGAGAACAGUGCCAUCAAAAGUUAUUAAAUGCCAGGAUCUAAGCACGGUGUCAUCAAAGAUUAUAUGAGAAGUCCGAUUAAAGGAUAGAAAUGCAUCAGCCAUCGGGCAAGUUUGAAUUUAUGUUCAAACCGGUGGUACCUCUGCUCCUUCCACAUUAAAAUUCACUUGCUAAAGAGUGAAGCCGCCAUGGUGGAGGAUGUGUCAGACAGAGAUAAGAAGAAUGAAUUCGUUGCGGGGAUGAGAAAAGAUGGUUCAAUGCCAGCAUUUUAGGAAAUGGAAAUGUUGGUGGGUAAAUACCACCUCUUCUUUGUAGAAUUCUAGCACACAAGUUCAUACCCCCUCCCAGUAGCGGGCAUGAGUUGUUUGAAAUUAAACUAUGCUAAAUCGGUGUCACAUUACAAGGGCACAUCCAUAUACUACAACUGCAAAAGCCUGCAAUCAGAAUGCAUCAGCUUCAUGUUGCUGAUAAGACAACUAUGCUCUGCUGCACUGUUUUGUCUGGAGGAGUUAUUAGAAGGAAGUGGAGAAAAAAAUGUCUUGCUUACUACAUUUUAAAGGUAUUUAGUUACUAGGGCAUUUAAAUCUUAGUUUUAACCUUUGUUUGGUGUAUUAUAGAUACUUAUAACGGGGCCGCGUUGCUUUCAGUUGUAGUAGUCCAUAAAUGAAUUGAUAAAAAGUAUGAUUUUAAA